rnacentral:tRNA from 1 species
CCGGUAGUGGCGCAGCUUGGUAGCGCGCUUCGUUCGGGACGAAGAGGCCGCGAGUUCAAAUCUCGCCUACCGGA